rnacentral:rRNA from 1 species
AGAGUUUGAUCCUGGCUCAGGACGAACGCUGGCGGCGUGCCUAAUACAUGCAAGUAGAACGCUGAAGAGAGGAGCUUGCUCUUCUUGGAUGAGUUGCGAACGGGUGAGUAACGCGUAGGUAACCUGCCUUGUAGCGGGGGAUAACUAUUGGAAACGAUAGCUAAUACCGCAUAACAAUGGAUGACCCAUGUCAUUUAUUUGAAAGGGGCAAAUGCUCCACUACAAGAUGGACCUGCGUUGUAUUAGCUAGUAGGUGAGGUAACGGCUCACCUAGGCGACGAUACAUAGCCGACCUGAGAGGGUGAUCGGCCACACUGGGACUGAGACACGGCCCAGACUCCUACGGGAGGCAGCAGUAGGGAAUCUUCGGCAAUGGGGGCAACCCUGACCGAGCAACGCUGCGUGAGUGAAGAAGGUUUUCGGAUCGUAAAGCUCUGUUGUAAGUCAAGAACGAGUGUGAGAGUGGAAAGUUCACACUGUGACGGUAGCUUACCAGAAAGGGACGGCUAACUACGUGCCAGCAGCCGCGGUAAUACGUAGGUCCCGAGCGUUGUCCGGAUUUAUUGGGCGUAAAGCGAGCGCAGGCGGUUUGAUAAGUCUGAAGUUAAAGGCUGUGGCUCAACCAUAGUUCGCUUUGGAAACUGUCAAACUUGAGUGCAGAAGGGGAGAGUGGAAUUCCAUGUGUAGCGGUGAAAUGCGUAGAUAUAUGGAGGAACACCGGUGGCGAAAGCGGCUCUCUGGUCUGUAACUGACGCUGAGGCUCGAAAGCGUGGGGAGCGAACAGGAUUAGAUACCCUGGUAGUCCACGCCGUAAACGAUGAGUGCUAGGUGUUGGAUCCUUUCCGGGAUUCAGUGCCGCAGCUAACGCAUUAAGCACUCCGCCUGGGGAGUACGACCGCAAGGUUGAAACUCAAAGGAAUUGACGGGGGCCCGCACAAGCGGUGGAGCAUGUGGUUUAAUUCGAAGCAACGCGAAGAACCUUACAAGGUCUUGACAUCCCGAUGCUAUUUCUAGAGAUAGAAAGUUACUUCGGUACAUCGGUGACAGGUGGUGCAUGGUUGUCGUCAGCUCGUGUCGUGAGAUGUUGGGUUAAGUCCCGCAACGAGCGCAACCCCUAUUGUUAGUUGCCAUCAUUCAGUUGGGCACUCUAGCGAGACUGCCGGCAAUAAACCGGAGGAAGGUGGGGAUGACGUCAAAUCAUCAUGCCCCUUAUGACCUGGGCUACACACGUGCUACAAUGGUUGGUACAACGAGUUGCGAGUCGGUGACGGCAAGCUAAUCUCUUAAAGCCAAUCUCAGUUCGGAUUGUAGGCUGCAACUCGCCUACAUGAAGUCGGAAUCGCUAGUAAUCGCGGAUCAGCACGCCGCGGUGAAUACGUUCCCGGGCCUUGUACACACCGCCCGUCACACCACGAGAGUUUGUAACACCCGAAGUCGGUGAGGUAACCUUUUGGAGCCAGCCGCCUAAGGUGGGAUAGAUGAUUGGGGUGAAGUCGUAACAAGGUA